rnacentral:rRNA from 1 species
UUUUGGACAAUGGGCGCAAGCCUGAUCCAGCAAUGCCGCGUGCAGGAUGAAGGCCUUCGGGUUGUAAACUGCUUUUGUACGGAACGAAACGGCGAACUCUAAUACAGUUUGCUAAUGACGGUACCGUAAGAAUAAGCACCGGCUAACUACGUGCCAGCAGCCGCGGUAAUACGUAGGGUGCAAGCGUUAAUCGGAAUUACUGGGCGUAAGGCGUGCGCAGGCGGUUAUGUAAGACAGAUGUGAAAUCCCCGGGCUUAACCUGGGAACUGCAUUUGUGACUGCAUAGCUAGAGUACGGUAGAGGGGGAUGGAAUUCCGCGUGUAGCAGUGAAAUGCGUAGAUAUGCGGAGGAACACCGAUGGCGAAGGCAAUCCCCUGGACCUGUACUGACGCUCAUGCACGAAA